CAGCAUUCAGUUGGGCACUCUAGAGAGACUGCCGUCGACAAGCCGGAGGAAGGCGGGGAUGACGUCAAAUCAUCAUGCCCCUUAUGACCUGGGCUACACACGUGCUACAAUGGCCGGUACAACGGGAAGCAAACCCGCGAGGGUAAGCCAAUCUCUUAAAACCAGUCUCAGUUCGGAUUGCAGUCUGCAACUCGCCUGCAUGAAGUCGGAAUCGCUAGUAAUCGCGGAUCAGCAUGCCGCGGUGAAUGAAUCGCUAGUAUCCGCGGAUCAGCAUGCCGCGGUGGAUACGUUACCGGGCCUUGUACACACCGCCCGUCACACACCGAGAGUUGCAACACCCGAAGUCGGUGAGGAACC
rnacentral:rRNA from 1 species